rnacentral:rRNA from 1 species
UCGUGGAGACAGAGCGGAGGUAUCCGGGGAGACAGGUGGUGCAUGGUUGUCGUCAGCUCGUGUCGUGAGAUGUUGGGUUAAGUCCCGCAACGAGCGCAACCCUUAUUGCUAGUUACCAUCAUUGAGUUGGGGACUCUAGCGAGACUGCCAGCGAUAAGCUGGAGGAAGGUGGGGAUGACGUCAAAUCAUCAUGCCCCUUAUGACCUGGGCUACAAACGUGAUACAAUGGCUGGAACAAAGGGAGGCGAAGGGGUGACCUGGAGCGAAACCCAAAAAUACAGUCUCAGUUCGGAUUGAAGUCUGCAACUCGACUUCAUGAAGUCGGAAUCGCUAGUAAUCGCGGAUCAGAACGCCGCGGUGAAUACGUUCUCGGGGGUUU